AACGAACGCUGGCGGCAUGCCUAACACAUGCAAGUCGAACGAGACCUUCGGGUCUAGUGGCGCACGGGUGCGUAACGCGUGGGAACCUGCCCUUAGGUUCGGAAUAACUCAGAGAAAUUUGAGCUAAUACCGGUUAAUGUCUUAGCGCCAAAGAUUUAUCGCUUUUGGAUGGGCCCGCGUAGGAUUAGCUUGUUGGUGGGGUAAUGGCCUGCCAAGGCGACGAUCCUUAGCUGGUAUGAGAGGAUGAUCAGCCACACUGGGACUGAGACACGGCCCAGACUCCUACGGGAGGCAGCAGUGGGGAAUAUUGGACAAUGGGCGAAAGCCUGAUCCAGCAAUGCCGCGUGAGUGAUGAAGGCCUUAGGGUUGUAAAGCUCUUUUACCAGGGAUGUUAAUGACAGUACCUGGAGAAUAAGCUCCGGCUAACUCCGUG
rnacentral:rRNA from 1 species